rnacentral:rRNA from 1 species
AUGAACCUGGCUCUCCUCACGAGAUGGCUCUGGUGCAUUGCAAAUGGUGAUGGUGGCCUGUGGUUGCAGACCAUCCAUCACAAAUACUUGCAUGGUGAACCCCUCGCCUUUUGCAUUAGGACAGGCGGCUCCCAGUUCUGGCACUCCGUCAUUCAGGUUCUCCCGGUCCUCCGCAUUGGGACCUCCAUCACAGUCGGAACUGGAACAUCCAUGAUGUUUUGGUUCGAUCGCUGGGCUGGGGAUAUUCCCUUCGCUGCCAGGUUCCCUGGCCUCUUCCCCAUUAUGGUCGAACCUGGGAUCUCCGUCGAGAUGACCCUUAUUGACUUAGGGCGUCUCGCGUUCCGACGACCAUUUGCCCCGGAGGUUUCUGCGUCGCACGAGCUCCUUGAUGCAGUGGCACUCCAUGAGCCAAACCUGGCGCAGCCCCACGACCGCCUAUCCUGGCGCCUCGAGUCCUCUGGCCGCUUUUCCAUGAAGUCCCUGUACCAAGCCAUUUCCCCUCUCCUACCGACAGUUGUCCUUGAGUCCAUAUGGGCCAUCCGCGUGCCCCUCAAUAUUAGAAUCUUCAUGUGGCAAUGGAUCUGAGGCCGACUCCCCUCUGGCGUGGAGGUGGUGAAACGCCAGGGUCCGAGUGAUGGUAUCUGCCCCCUAUGUGGGAUGGAAGAAACCUCAAAUCACAUCUUCUUCUCAUGCGUGGCCGCCCAGUUUCUAUGGGGCCUCCUCCGAGAGGCUCUCGGUGGCAACUGGUGUAACACCAACUUCCCUGAUCUCCUCUCCGAGAUUCAGGCCUCCCCCAUGUCGGGCCGCCACAUUAGGUGGCUACUCAUUGGGGUGCUAGCGUGGACGCUCUGGACUGUGCAUAAUAAGCUUGCCAUUCAACGGGUUCCUCUUCAACGUGCUACUGAUGUUGUGUUCAAAAUGUGUGGAUACUUGCAGCUCUCGCGACCGCUUAGCUGUCACCAGGAUCGCGACGCCAUCACCACCAUCAUCGCCGACCUUCGCUCGAUGGCUCUUCGCUUGGCGCCGCCGCUCCCUCCCCCACCACCCGAGCCGGAUUAG